AAUCUUCCAAUGCCAAGGGAUCAAGUAGUCUUCUGUUUAAAAAUCAAUCUUCCAAUGCCAAGGGACCAAGGUAAUCUUCUGUUUAAAAAUCAAUCUUCCAAUGCCAAGGUAGGCUUCUGUUUAAAAAUCGGUCUUCUAUUGCCAAGGAACCAAGGAUAUUCUGUACGAUCCUGGAGGAAAGGAUGACUUUUCCACUGUGGAGGAUGAUGAAGGAAAGAGAAUAUUAGAAGAGCUAGCAGAGAAAACACGUCAAAGAAGACAACGUAGUGGAGCAGACACUGUGGAUGGAAAUAAUCAUAGUAGUCGUUGCCGGAAGCCAGAAAUAGGGAUCACAAUACAUGUGGAUAAUUUUAGUUGAUUCAUGGAGAUUUUAGUGCUGCAUCAAGUUGCCUUGUCAAGUUGUUUUUUCUUAUAUGUGACUUGUUUAAAUAAAAUUAAGAAUCAACUGAUACA